rnacentral:rRNA from 1 species
AUCUAUGGCUGUACCACUCUGAACAUGCCUUAUCUCAGAAGCUAAGCAGGGUCGGGCCUGGUUAGUACUUAGAUGGGUAACUGGGAAUACUGGGUGUUGUAAACU